rnacentral:rRNA from 1 species
AUUGAACGCUGGCGGCAGGCCUAACACAUGCAAGUCGAGCGGUAGCACAGAGAGCUUGCUCUCGGGUGACGAGCGGCGGACGGGUGAGUAAUGUCUGGGAAACUGCCUGAUGGAGGGGGAUAACUACUGGAAACGGUAGCUAAUACCGCAUAACGUCGCAAGACCAAAGUGGGGGACCUUCGGGCCUCAUGCCAUCAGAUGUGCCCAGAUGGGAUUAGCUGGUAGGUGGGGUAACGGCUCACCUAGGCGACGAUCCCUAGCUGGUCUGAGAGGAUGACCAGCCACACUGGAACUGAGACACGGUCCAGACUCCUACGGGAGGCAGCAGUGGGGAAUAUUGCACAAUGGGCGCAAGCCUGAUGCAGCCAUGCCGCGUGUGUGAAGAAGGCCUUCGGGUUGUAAAGCACUUUCAGCGGGGAGGAAGGCGGUGAGGUUAAUAACCUCAUCGAUUGACGUUACCCGCAGAAGAAGCACCGGCUAACUCCGUGCCAGCAGCCGCGGUAAUACGGAGGGUGCAAGCGUUAAUCGGAAUUACUGGGCGUAAAGCGCACGCAGGCGGUCUGUCAAGUCGGAUGUGAAAUCCCCGGGCUCAACCUGGGAACUGCAUUCGAAACUGGCAGGCUAGAGUCUUGUAGAGGGGGGUAGAAUUCCAGGUGUAGCGGUGAAAUGCGUAGAGAUCUGGAGGAAUACCGGUGGCGAAGGCGGCCCCCUGGACAAAGACUGACGCUCAGGUGCGAAAGCGUGGGGAGCAAACAGGAUUAGAUACCCUGGUAGUCCACGCUGUAAACGAUGUCGAUUUGGAGGUUGUGCCCUUGAGGCGUGGCUUCCGGAGCUAACGCGUUAAAUCGACCGCCUGGGGAGUACGGCCGCAAGGUUAAAACUCAAAUGAAUUGACGGGGGCCCGCACAAGCGGUGGAGCAUGUGGUUUAAUUCGAUGCAACGCGAAGAACCUUACCUGGUCUUGACAUCCACAGAACUUUCCAGAGAUGGAUUGGUGCCUUCGGGAACUGUGAGACAGGUGCUGCAUGGCUGUCGUCAGCUCGUGUUGUGAAAUGUUGGGUUGAGUCCCGCAACGAGCGCAACCCUUAUCCUUUGUUGCCAGCGGUUAGGCCGGGAACUCAAAGGAGACUGCCAGUGAUAAACUGGAGGAAGGUGGGGAUGACGUCAAGUCAUCAUGGCCCUUACGAGUAGGGCUACACACGUGCUACAAUGGCGCAUACAAAGAGAAGCGACCUCGCAAGAGCAAGCGGACCUCAUAAAGUGCGUCGUAGUCCGGAUCGGAGUCUGCAACUCGACUCCAUGAAGUCGGAAUCGCUAGUAAUCGUAGAUCAGAAUGCUACGGUGAAUACGUUCCCGGGCCUUGUACACACCGCCCGUCACACCAUGGGAGUGGGUUGCAAAAGAAGUAGGUAGCUUAACCUUCGGGAGGGCGCUUACCACUUUGUGAUUCAUGACUGGGGUG